rnacentral:rRNA from 1 species
GACGAACGCUGGCGGCGUGCUUAACACAUGCAAGUCGAACGCUGAAGACCUGGCUUUUGUUGGGUUGGCUGAGUGGCGAACGGGUGAGUAACACGUGAGUAACCUGCCCUCUUCUUUGGGAUAACGCCCGGAAACGGGUGCUAAUACUGGAUAUUCACUGGCCUUCGCAUGGGGGUUGGUGGAAAGGUUUGUUCUGGUGGGGGAUGGGCUCGCGGCCUAUCAGCUUGUUGGUGGGGUGAUGGCCUACCAAGGCUUUGACGGGUAGCCGGCCUGAGAGGGUGACCGGUCACAUUGGGACUGAGAUACGGCCCAGACUCCUACGGGAGGCAGCAGUGGGGAAUAUUGCACAAUGGGCGAAAGCCUGAGGCAGCGACGCCGCGUGAGGGAUGGAGGCCUUCGGGUUGUAAACCUCUUUCGCUCAUGGUCAAGCCGCAACUGUGGGUUGUGGUGAGGGUAGUGGGUAAAGAAGCGCCGGCUAACUACGUG